UACGAAGGGGGCUAGCGUUGCUCGGAAUCACUGGGCGUAAAGGGUGCGUAGGCGGGUCUUUAAGUCAGGGGUGAAAUCCUGGAGCUCAACUCCAGAACUGCCUUUGAUACUGAAGAUCUUGAGUUCGGGAGAGGUGAGUGGAACUGCGAGUGUAGAGGUGAAAAUUCGUAGAUAUUCGCAAGAACACCAGUGGCGAAGGCGGACUCACUGGCCCGAUACUGACGCUGAGGCACGAAAGCGUGGG
rnacentral:rRNA from 1 species